rnacentral:rRNA from 1 species
CAGUAGCCACGGGAACACGGAGGGUGCAAGCGUUAAUCGGAAUUACUGGGCGUAAAGCGUGCGUAGGCGGUGAGUUAAGUCUGCUGUGAAAUCCCCGGGCUCAACCUGGGAAUGGCAGUGGAUACUGGCUCGCUAGAGUGUGUCAGAGGAUGGUGGAAUUCCCGGUGUAGCGGUAAGAUGCGUAGAGAUCGGGAGGAACAUCAGUGGCGAAGGCAGCCAUCUGGGACAACACUGACGCUGAGGCACGAAAGCGUGGGGAGCGAACAGGAUUAGAUACCCCCGUAGUCCCUGUCUCUUAUAC